GUCUAGUUGACGAGUUCUAAAUAGGACGAAACGCGUCCCAGAU
rnacentral:hammerhead_ribozyme from 1 species